UAUAAAUAUCCUACAGCAAGUUUUGGUCAGAA
rnacentral:piRNA from 1 species